UGUCUUGUAAAUGGAAUGAUGGGAAUUUAAACCUCUUCCAGAGUAUCAAUUGGAGGGCAAGUCUGGUGCCAGCAGCCGCGGUAAUUCCAGCUCCAAUAGCGUAUAUUAAAAUUGUUGCAGUUAAAAAGCUCGUAGUUGAAUUUCUGCUGCAUUGCUUUUGCUCCUUUACGAGUCUUUGCAUUGUGGCUUAUUUCGGACUUUGUUUUACAAUGUCCGGAUGUUUACUUUGAGAAAAUUAGAGUGCUCAAAGCAGGCUUUCGCCUUGAAUAGUUUAGCAUGGAAUAAUAAAGUAGGACUUUGGUUCUAUUUUGUUGGUUUUAGGUACCAAAGUAAUGGUUAAUAGGAACAGUUGGGGGCAUUCGUAUUUAACUGUCAGAGGUGAAAUUCUUAGAUUUGUUAAAGACGAACUACUGCGAAAGCAUUUGCCAAGGAUGUUUUCAUUAAUCAAGAACGAAAGUUAGGGGAUCGAAGACGAUCAGAUACCGUCGUAGUCCUAACCAUAAACUACGCCGACUAGAGAUUGGAGGUCGUCAGUUUUUACGACUCCUUCAGCACCUUGAGAGAAAUCAA
rnacentral:rRNA from 1 species